GCCAUCCAGGAUGAUGAGCUGAUCUCCUACAUCAUCCAUGGGCUAGACAUGGACUACCAGCCCCUUGUCUCGUCCCUCGAUGCCCGCGUCACGCUCGUCUCCCUCAAUGAGCUCUUUGCCAUGCUCAGCAACUUCGAUC
rfam:Triticum aestivum genome assembly, contig: Triticum_aestivum_CS42_TGACv1_scaffold_147695_2BS